AGUUCACUGCUCAGGCCCCUUCUGUUCGGACGGAAAAAGGAAACGGUAGGCAGUGAGAUGGUCCCAUUAAAACCCACAACCUGGCCGGGCGCGGUGGCUCACGCCUGUAAUCCCAGCACUUUGGGAGGCCCAGGCGGACGGAUCACUUGAGGUCAGGAGUUCAAGACUAGCCUGGAUGCCGGGCGCCGUGGCUCACGCCUAUAAUCCCAGCCCUUUGGGAGGCUGAGGCGGGCGGAUCACAAAGUCAGGAGUUCGAGACCAGCCUGGCCAAUAUGGUGAAACCCCGUCUCUACUAAAAAUACAGAAAUUAGCCGGGCGGGGUGGCGGGCACCUGUAGUCCCAGCUACUCGAGAGGCUGAAGUAGGAGAAUCACUUGAAUCCAGGAGGCAGAGGUUGCAGUGAGCUGAGAUAGCGCCACUGCACUCUAGCCUGGGUGACAGAGUGAGACUCCGUCUAAAAAAAAAAAAGACUAGCCAGGCGAACAUGGUGAAACCCCGUCUCUACUAAAAAUACAAAAAAUUAGCCAGGCGUGAGGGCGGGCGCCUGUAAUCCCAGCUACUGGGGAGGCUGAGGCAGGAGAAUUGGUUGAACCCAGGAGGCGGAGAUUGCAGUGAGCCUAGAUCGCACCAUUGCACUCCAGCCUGGGCGACACAGCGAGACUACGCCUCAAAAAAAUAAAAAAUAAAAAGGCCCACAACCUUAGAAAGCUCUCUCCUGUCUCGUCCCUUGACCUAUAUUGACCACUGACCAGUAAUCGCCUAUCGCGCUUUUUUUUUUUUUUUUUUUGAGACGGAGUCUCGUUCUGUUGCCCAGGCUGGAGUGCAGUGGCGAGAUCUCUGCUCACUGCAACCUCCACCCCCUGGGUUCAAGCAAUUCUCCUGCCUCAGCCUCCCUAGUAGGUGGGAUUAUAGGCGUGCAAUACUACCCCUGGUUACUUUUUGUAUUUUUAGUAGAGACGGGGUUUCCAACGUAUUGGUCAAGGCUGGUCCGAACUGCUGACCUCAUCGGAUCCGCCCUCCUCGGCCUCCCAAAGUGCUGGAAUUGCAGGCGUGAGCCUCUGCGCCCUGCUCUCGGAGCUGUAUUCUGACCUCCCUAAGAUGCAGCCUUUCUUUUUUUUUUUUUUUUUUUUUUUUGAGACGGAGUCUCGCUGUGUCGCCCAGGCUGGAGUGCACUGGCCUGAUCUCGGCUCACUGCAAGCUCUGCCUCCCGGGUUCACGCCAUUCUCCUGCCUCAGCCUCCUGAGUGGCUGGGACUACAGGCGCCCACCACCACGCCCGGCUAAUUUUUUGUAUUUUUAGUAGAGACGGGGUUUCACCGUGUUAGCCAGGAUGGUCUCCAUCUCCUGACCUCGCGAUCCGCCUGCCUCGGCCUCCCAAAGUGCUGGGAUUACAGGCAUGAGCCACGGCGCCCGGCCAAGAUGCAGCCUUUCUAACCUGCGGCUUCUCGCUUUUUCAGGCAUGUUUUGACUUGCUUCCAUCUCCCACCAAAUCAGCUCUGCCUUGUCAGAGCUCCUCACUGAACACCAAUUUCUGCCCUCCCUAAAUCCCCCACUAAGCUUCCAUUCCUCCCCUACCACCUCUGCAAAAAAAAAAAAAAAAAAAAAAAAAAACACACACAACCAGGCCUGGGGCGGUGGCUCAUGCAGUAAUCCCAGGAUUUUGGGAUGCCACGACUGGCGGACCACCAAAGGUCAGGAGUUCGAGACCAGCCUGGCCAACAUGGUGAAACCUUGUCUCUACUAAAAAUACAAAAAUUAGCCAGGCGUGGUUGUGGGUGCCUGUGGGUGCCAGUAAUCCCAGCUACUCGGGAGGCCGAGGCAGGAGAAUCGGUUGAACCUGGGAGGCGGAGGUUGCAGUGAGCUGAGAUUGCACCGUUGCACUCC
rnacentral:lncRNA from 10 species